AAGACUGCCUGGUGUUGGCCGAAGGAUGCCGAAGAAAAAGAUUUAAGGACUGGGACACUCUUACCCCAAGAUUGGAUGAAGAUGGAAUCCAUUUCAGUCUGAAAUGUGUUUCAUGGCUGUAACGGGCAUUCCUCUGAAUUCUUGUUUCACUGGUUAGAUGGAUCCAGUCCAACUCAAGUGUUCUAAAAAAGACUCCCUUGGUCUAAUAUGAGGUUUCUCAUUGGCCAGUACUAUGAAGGUUGAUGGCAUGAUCAUUCACUUCACAUCAAAGGAUAUCUACUCAUCAGUGUGCUGUUGUCAGUCAGAGGUUUCCAAAUAUGUGUUCUCCAACUCAAGGAAAAGUAGCUGGAUCCAGGCAGAAAC